GCAAGGGCAAUAAGGACUUACGCUGUUACUGACAUUACAUGUUGGACCUUCCUUGGAGACGCAAAACCAAUUUUGAUGUGACACUCUGAAAAGUACUCUACAAAUAGUUCAAGGUCACAGAAAACUUGAACUAGACACUUUCAGGAAAACAUCACGCCACCACCAUCUGUGCCUAUGCUCCAACCAUGAUGAACCCUGAGGAGGUCAAAGAAAAAAUUUUAUGAAGACCUGGAAACCCUUAUCAUCAAUGUGCCAAAAGAGAACAAACAUAUAAUUCUGAUGACUUUAAUGUGAGAGUGGACUCAGAGUACCAAACUUGGCAGAGAGUGCUAAGGAGGAAUGGAUUUGGAAACAGCAACAGUAAUGGUCACUUGCUACUGAGGACUUGUCUAUCUCAUGAUCUUCUCAUCACCAACACUGU